UACGGGGGGGGCAAGCGUUGUUCGGAAUUACUGGGCGUAAAGGGCUCGUAGGUGGCCAACUAAGUCAGACGUGAAAUCCCUCGGCUUAACCGGGGAACUGCGUCUGAUACUGGAUGGCUUGAGUUCGGGAGAGGGAUGCGGAAUUCCAGGUGUAGCGGUGAAAUGCGUAGAUAUCUGGAGGAACACCGAUGGCGAAGGCAAUCCCCUGGGCCUGCACUGACGCUCAUGCACGAAAGCGUGGGGAGCAAGCAGG
rnacentral:rRNA from 1 species